rnacentral:rRNA from 1 species
UGAGUACGAGAUGCUACGGCAUCGAAGCAGUCUAUGUCAUACUUCCAAGAAAAGCUUGCAAUGUCAUAAACAAAUAAUGCCUGUACCAUAACCGACACAGGUGGGUAGGUAGAGUAUACUAAGGGGCGCGAGAUAACUCUCUCUAAGGAACUCGGCAAAAUGACUCCGUAACUUCGGGAGAAGGAGUGCCUUAUUUUUAUAAGGUUGCAAUAACAAGAUCCAAGCAACUGUUUACCAAAAACACAGGUCUCCGCUAAGUCGUAAGACGAUGUAUGGGGGCUGACGCCUGCCCAGUGCCAGAAGGUUAAAGAAGUUGGUUAGCAUUAGCGAAGCUGAUAACUGAAGCCCUGGUGAACGGCGGCCGUAACAAUAACGGUCCUAAGGUAGCGAAAUUCCUUGUCGGGUAAGUUCCGACCCGCACGAAAGGCGUAAUGAUUUGGAUACUGUCUCGGAGAGGGGCUCGGUGAAAUAGACUUGUCUGUGAAGAUGCGGACUACCUGCACCUGGACAGAAAGACCCUAUGAAGCUCUACUGUAACUUGAGAUUGAAAUUGGACUUUAUCUGCGCAGUAUAGGUGGGAGACGUUGAAAAUAUUCUUGCGGGAAUAUUGGAGUCAUCAGUGAGAUACCACUCUUAUAAUGUUAGAUUUCUAACUUUGUAUCAUUAUCUGGUCAAAGAACAGUUUCAGGCGGGCAGUUUGACUGGGGCGGUCGCCUCCCAAACGGUAACGGAGGCGCACAAAGGUUUCCUCUGAACGUGUAGAAAUCGUAUCUAGAGUGUAAAGGCAUAAGGAAGCUUGACUGUGAGACCUACAAGUCGAGCAGGGACGAAAGUCGGUCUUAGUGAUCUGACGGUGCUGAGUGGAAAGGCCGUCACUCAACGGAUAAAAGUUACUCUAAGGAUAACAGGCUGAUCUCCCCCAAGAGUUCACAUCGACGGGGAGGUUUGGCACCUCGAUGUCGGCUCAUCGCAUCCUGGGGCGGUAGUACGUCCCAAGGGUUGGGCUGUUCGCCCAUGAAGGCGGUACGCGAGCUGGGUUCAGAACGUCGUGAGACAGUUCGGUCCAUAUCCGGUGUAGGCGUUAGAAUAUUGAGAGGAGCCUUCUUUAGUACGAGAGGACCGAGAAGGACAUACCUCUGGUGUACCAGUUAUCGUGCCAACGGUAAACGCUGGGUAGCCAUGUAUGGAGAGGAUAACCGCUGAAAGCAUCUAAGUGGGAAGCCCACCUCAAGAUAAG